rnacentral:rRNA from 1 species
AGCGAACGCUGGCGGCAGGCUUAACACAUGCAAGUCGAACGAGAUCUUCGGAUCUAGUGGCAGACGGGUGAGGAACACGUGGGAACAUCCCUUUCAGUUCGGAAUAACGUUGGGAAACUAACGCUAAUACCGGAUACGUCCUUCGGGAGAAAGAGUUAUCGCUGAAAGAUUGGCCCGCGUCUGAUUAGCUAGUUGGUGAGGUAACGGCUCACCAAGGCUACGAUCAGUAGCUGAUCUGAGAGGAUGAUCAGCCACAUUGGGACUGGGACACGGCCCAAACUCCUACGGGGGGCAGCAGUGGGGAAUAUUGGACAAUGGGCGCAAGCCUGAUCCAGCCAUGCCGCGUGAGUGAUGACGGCCUUCGGGUUGUAAAGCUCUUUUGUCCGGGAAGAUAAUGACUGUACCGGAAGAAUAAGCCCCGGCAAACUUCGUGCCAGCCGCCGCGGUAAUAC